GAGAGUUUGAUUAUGGCUCAGGACUAACGCUGGCGGCGUGCCUAAUACAUGCAAGUAGAACGCUGAAGGAGGAGCUUGCUCUUCUGGAUGAGUUGCGAACGGGUGAGUAACGCGUAGGUAACCUGCCUGGNUAGCGGGGGAUAACUAUUGGAAACGAUAGCUAAUACCGCAUAAUAGCAGUUGUUGCAUGACAACUGUUUGAAAGGUGCAAAUGCAUCACUACCAGAUGGACCUGCGUUGUAUUAGCUAGUUGGUGGGGUAAGGGCUCACCAAGGCGACGAUAUAUAGCCGACCUGAGAGGGUGAUCGGCCACACUGGGACUGAGACACGGCCCAGACUCCUACGGGAGGCAGCAGUAGGGAAUCUUCGGCAAUGGACGGAAGUCUUGACCGAGCCACGCCGCGNUGAGUGAAGAAGGUUUUCGGAUCGUAAAGCUCUGUUGUAAGAGAAGAACGAGUGUGAGAGUGGAAAGUUCACACUGUGACGGUAUCUUACCAGAAAGGGACGGCUAACUACGUGCCAGCAGCCGCGGUAAUACGUAGGUCCCGAGCGUUGUCCGGAUUUAUUGGGCGUAAAGCGAGCGCAGGCGGUUAGAUAAGUCUGAAGUUAAAGGCUGUGGCUUAACCAUAGUACGCUUUGGAAACUGUUUAACUUGAGUGCAAGAGGGGAGAGUGGAAUUCCAUGUGUAGCCGGUGAAAUGGGUAGAUAUAUGGAGGAACACCGGUGGCGAAAGCGGCUCUCUGGNCUUGUAACUGACGCUGAGGCUCGAAAGGCGUGGGGAGCAAANCAGGAUUAGAUACCNCUGGUAGUCCACGCCGUAAACGAUGAGUGCUAGGUGUUAGACCCUUUCCGGGGUUUUAGUGCCGUAGCUAACGCAUUAAGCACUCCGCCUGGGGAGUACGACCGCAAGGUUGAAACUCAAAGGAAUUGACGGGGGCCCGCACAAGCGGUGGAGCAUGUGGUUUAAUUCGAAGCAACGCGAAGGACCUUACCAGGUCUUGCCAUCCCUCUGACCGCUCUAGAGAUAGAGCUUUCCUUCGGGANCAGAGGUGANCAGGUGAUGCAUGGUUGUCGUCAGCUCGUGUCGUGAGAUGUUGGGUUAAGUCCCGCAACGAGCAGCAACCACCCUAUUGUUAGUUGCCAUCAGUUGAGUUGGGCACUCUAGCGAGACUGCCAGGUAAUAAANCCGGAGGAAGGUGGGGAUGACGUCAAAUCAUCAUGCCCCUUAUGACCUGGGCUACACACGUGCUACAAUGGCUGGUACAACGAGUCGCAAGCCGGUGACGGCAAGCUAAUCUCUUAAAGCCAGUCUCAGUUCGGAUUGUAGGCUGCAACUCGCCUACAUGAAGUCGGAAUCGCUAGUAAUCGCGGAUCAGCACGCCGCGGUGAAUACGUUCCCGGGCCUUGUACACACCGCCCGUCACACCACGAGAGUUUGUAACACCCGAAGUCGGUGAGGUAACCGUAAGGAGCCAGCCGCCUAAGGUGGGAUAGAUGAUUGGGGUGAAGUCGUAACAAGGUAGCCGUAUCGGAAGGUGCGGCUGGAACACCUCCUUC
rnacentral:rRNA from 1 species